UACGUAGGGUGCGAGCGUUACUCGGAAUUACUGGGCGUAAAGCGUGCGCAGGCGGUUUUGUAAGUCUGACGUGAAAUCCCCGGGCUCAACCUGGGAAUUGCGUUGGAGACUGCAAGGCUGGAGUCUGGCAGAGGGGGGUAGAAUUCCACGUGUAGCAGUGAAAUGCGUAGAGAUGUGGAGGAACACCGAUGGCGAAGGCAGCCCCCUGGGUCAAGACUGACGCUCAUGCACGAAAGCGUGGGGAGCAAACAGG
rnacentral:rRNA from 1 species